rnacentral:lncRNA from 1 species
UAAAUUUUCCUCAUUUUUUAAUUUGUGUGUGUGUUAUGUGAUUAUGUUGCGUUGAUUUCAUCUGUCAUUUCUACUUCUAAUUUUAAACUAAGGUAAUUGUCAUUUAAUGGUGUGAGCGGAAUUUUGCAGAAGUGGUGUCACCCUACUGUUGCAAUUCAUCUGGGCGGUAAGAUCAAGGAGUAUGCUUCCCGAUACCUCCCAAGGGAAAUCUCUAAUUUGAAUUUCAAAUUGACGGAUUAAUGUGAGCUUAUCCAUGUGGUUAUGCACUCUUUGAAUAGGAAUCUGUUUGCUGAAAGAUCCUAUAAAGAAUAUGAUGAUUAUAUUGAUCUUCUGAAUGCAAAUUAUAUACUAGUAUUAAUUUUCCUUCUGUUGAAUGGGCU